rnacentral:rRNA from 1 species
AUAAAACAAUUUAGGUAGUCAAUUUAUUAAAACCUUUAUAAAAUGGCGGCAUUUCAUCUUAUUAGAGGAACAUGUUUUUUAAUCGACAACACACGAUUAAUUUCACUAAUUUUAAAAUUCUAUAUACCUCCGUCCUAAAAUUAUUUCUAUUUUUCAAAAAAAUUCUAAAAGGCUAGGUAAAGGUGUAAACUAUAAAUUAGAUAAAAUGUGUUACCCUAAAAAAAAUUUAAGAAUCUUAAUAUAAACGGCUAUUUGAAAAAGAAUUUAAAAGUAGCAUUUUUAUAUAAUAAAAAUUCGAAUAAGAAAAUAAAUGUGC